AAAACGACUCUCGACAACGGAUAUCUCGGCUCUCGCAUCGAUGAAGAACGUAGCGAAAUGCGAUACUUGGUGUGAAUUGCAGAAUCCCGUGAACCAUCGAGUCUUUGAACGCAAGUUGCGCCCCAAGCCUUUAGGCCGAGGGCACGCCUGCCUGGGUGUCACAC
rnacentral:rRNA from 1 species